ACCUUUGGCCUUUCAGUUUCUCCAGUUUUAAAGGGACAUGGUAUCUAAUCUUAUAUAUAGAGAAUAUCCUCAAGCAAUCAUCUUAUUGCCUCCAUAAGGAUUCUACUCCAUCUUUUUCACCAAAAUUAAUGGUGGUAAGAACUCGCUUUUGUUUCCUGUUUACUUUGAAUAUAUUAUAAUGGUAACUCGCGAUUAUUUUCAAUAUAUAUUCUUCAUUCGCAUGUUUCUGAGUCUAUAACUACGUUGUGCAAAUUCAUAAGGUCCACAAACUUUUAUAGCCCUGGAUUUCGAUGUCCCCAAGUUAAAAAAUUUUGUGCCCAAGUAAGUCUGCAAGGAACUGAGGAAGGUAUCUCAUGAUUUUUAGUGUCGAGCAUUUUACUUUUUACUGCUAAGAGAUCGUUGAUGUAGGCUUUCAUGAAAUACAAUAUUACAUUUGCAAUCAAUUCUGGGUAUUGAUUGUAAAAAAUAUCUUUGACGAAGGAUUUGUUUUUACGAUUUAAGAAGGGAAGAAGUUGUUGACAUGCUUGGGAGGAAGAAUAAAGCAGAGGUUAACGGAAAAAAUUGGAUUGUGCAGUGACCAGUUUCCACAUAAAUUUGAUCAUAAAUGGAUAACGCAAGAGUUUUCUCUUUCUAGAAGGAAUUGAGUAAAAGACAUGGUUACACCGGAAAUGUGAAGCUCCAAUCACUUAUCCCAAUGUCUUUACAUUAUCGCUUUUAUGGGUAUUGCUCAAAAGUUUUGGCAAGCUAAGAUUAUGGAAUUAUAAAUUAGGGAGCGCUAUUUAUUUAACUUUAAAAAUGAGGUAGCAAGCUUAAUUAACCCUGAUGUGAAUUUGAAAGUUUUUUAAUACUUCAAGGUUAUGGGUUGUUUUAUUUUACGCUA